rnacentral:rRNA from 1 species
GACGUCUGAUUAGCUAGUUGGUGAGGUAAUGGCUCACCAAGGCGACGAUCAGUAGCGGGUCUGAGAGGAUGAUCCGCCACGCUGGAACUGAGACACGGUCCAGACUCCUACGGGAGGCAGCAGUGGGGAAUUUUGGACAAUGGGGGAAACCCUGAUCCAGCCAUUCCGCGUGAGUGAAGAAGGCCUUCGGGUUGUAAAGCUCUUUCAGCUGGAACGAAACGGUACGCUCUAACAUAGCGUGCUAAUGACGGUACCAGCAGAAGAAGCACCGGCUAACUACGUGCCAGCAGCCACGGUAAUACGUAGGGUGCGAGCGUUAAUCGGAAUUACUGGGCGUAAAGCGUGCGCAGGCGGAUUGUUAAGCAAGAUGUGAAAUCCCCGGGCUUAACCUGGGAAUGGCAUUUUGAACUGGCAGUCUAGAGUGUGUCAGAGGGGGGUGGAAUUCCACGUGUAGCAGUGAAAUGCGUAGAUAUGUGGAGGAACACCAAUGGCGAAGGCAGCCCCCUGGGAUAACACUGACGCUCAUGUACGAAAGCGUGGGUAACAAACAGGAUUAGAUACCCUGGUAGUCCACGCCCUAAACGAUGUCAACUGGUUGUUGGGGGAGUGAAAUCCCUUAGUAACGAAGCUAACGCGUGAAGUUGACCGCCUGGGGAGUACGGUCGCAAGAUUAAAACUCAAAGGAAUUGACGGGGACCCGCACAAGCGGUGGAUGAUGUGGAUUAAUUCGAUGCAACGCGAAAAACCUUACCUACCCUUGACAUGUCCAGAAUCCUGCAGAGAUGCGGGAGUGCCCGAAAGGGAAUUGGAACACAGGUGCUGCAUGGCUGUCGUCAGCUCGUGUCGUGAGAUGUUGGGUUAAGUCCCGCAACGAGCGCAACCCUUAUCAUUAGUUGCUACGCAAGGGCACUCUAAUGAGACUGCCGGUGACAAACCGGAGGAAGGUGGGGAUGACGUCAAGUCCUCAUGGCCCUUAUGGGUAGGGCUUCACACGUCAUACAAUGGUCGGUACAGAGGGUUGCCAAGCCGCGAGGUGGAGCCAAUCCCAGAAAGCCGAUCGUAGUCCGGAUUGUUCUCUGCAACUCGAGAGCAUGAAGUCGGAAUCGCUAGUAAUCGCGGAUCAGAAUGUCGCGGUGAAUACGUUCCCGGGUCUUGUACACACCGCCCGUCACACCAUGGGAGUGGAAUCUGCCAGAAGUAGGUAGCCUAACCGCAAGGAGGGCGCUUACCACGGUGGGUUUCAUGACUGGGGUGAAGUCGGAACAAGGUA